rnacentral:tRNA from 1 species
GCCUAGAUAGCUCAGUUGGUUAAGAGUGUGGUGCUGAUAACACCAAGGUUGCAGGUUCGAUACCUGUGUGGGAUA